rnacentral:rRNA from 1 species
UACGUAGGGCGCAAGCGUUAUCCGGAAUUAUUGGGCGUAAAGAGCUCGUAGGCGGUUUGUCGCGUCUGCCGUGAAAGUCCGGGGCUCAACUCCGGAUCUGCGGUGGGUACGGGCAGACUAGAGUGAUGUAGGGGAGACUGAAAUUCCUGGUGUAGCGGUGAAAUGCGCAGAUAUCAGGAGGAACACCGGUGGCGAAGGCGGUUCUCUGGGCAUUACCUGACGCUGAGGAGCGAAAGUGUGGGGAGCGAACAGG